UACAGAGGUCUCAAGCGUUGUUCGGAUUCAUUGGGCGUAAAGGGUGCGUAGGCGGCGCGGUAAGUCGGGUGUGAAAUUUCGAGGCUUAACUUCGAAACUGCAUUCGAUACUGCCGUGCUAGAGGACUGGAGAGGAGACUGGAAUUUACGGUGUAGCGGUGAAAUGCGUAGAUAUCAGGAGGAACACCGGUGGCGAAGGCGGAUCUCUGGGCCAUUACUGACGCUGAGGAGCGAAAGCGUGGGGAGCGAACAGG
rnacentral:rRNA from 1 species